GGAUCGUUUGGCGCGCGGGGUUAAAGUUGACUGUUUUGUUUCGGGGGCGGGGGUAGUAGAAGCCCAGAGCCGGAUCGACCAGGAACCAGGAGUAAGAUCAAGAACGAGAGUCAGAGCAAAACUGGAUUUUAAUCCGCCGUGGAGAGCCGCUGUCAAUCCGAAUGUGUGGAGAAGGAAGAUCUCUCACAAACACUUCACUCCCCCAAGUGACAGAUAACCGAGACUGAAAGGACCGGGGGAAUUAACGGCGAGCGAUGGCCCAGGACGGUGCGGCAGGCUGGAAGCUGAGGCCGACUGCCUGAAAACCACAUAUACUACCCGUUCUGGUGAACUUGAUCGGGCUGCUGGAUCCAAUUCACUGAGCUCCGUCAACCGGCCACUCAGUGUCUUCUUAGUAUGAAGCCUCAUAUGUACCUGUGUUCACGGUCACCGCUGCAGACAUUAAAUCAGCCUUCUUGAGAGUGAACCCACGGAAAGCGACCGGCCAGGAUGGAAUUCCCAGCCAUGCACUCAGAUACUGUGCAGAUCGGCUGGCAGGAGUAUUUGCUGACAUCUUUAACCUCUCCUUACUACAAUCUGAAGUCCCCACAUGUUUCAUGAAAACCACCAUCAUCCCGACGCCAAGAAAAAUGAUGCAGUGUGUCUCAAUGGCUACCACCUGGUGGCUCUGACCUCCAUAAUUAUGAAGUUCUACGAAAGGUUAGUUAUGGCUCACAUCAACUACAGAUUGCCUUGAUCCUUUGCAAUUUACCUACUGUAGCAACAGGUCCAUGGCAGAUGCCAUCUGUCUUAUCCUAGACUCAUCCCUGGAACAUCUAGAUAACAAGGAUACCUAUGUCAGGCUCCAACUUAUUGACUACAGCUCCGCUUUCAACACCAUAAUUCCAAACAAACUCAUCUCUAAACUUCAGGACCUAGGUCUCGACUUCCACCCAAGAAUUGGUGACAACACCUCCUCUACCGAAAGGCUGCGUACUCAGCCCAUACGAUACUCCUUAUACACUCAUGACUGUGCAGUCAAAUUCUGCCCCAACUCCAUUUGCAAGUUUGCUGACAUCACUGUAGGUCAGAUCUCAAACAACAGACUUCAGGAAAAAUAUUGAGUACUUAGCAGCAUGGUAUAAAGACGACAAUUUCCCCAUCAACAUUAGCAAAACAAAGGAGCUGGUCAUUAACUUCAGGAAGUGAAGUCAAGGGCACACCCCUGUCUGCAUCACUGGUGCUGAGAUGGAGAUGAUCGAGAGUGUCAAGUUCUUUGGAGUGACGAUCACCAACAAUCUGUCCUGGUCCACUCACGUCAAUGCGAUGGUCAAGGAAGUACAACAACCUCUCUCCUUCCUCAGGAGGCUAAGGAAAUUCGGCAUUUCCACAAAGACUUUUACCAAUUAUUAUAGAUGCACCAUAGAAGGCAUUCUCUGUGGAUGCAUCACAGCGUGGUAGCAACUGCUAUUCCCAAGACUGCAAGGAACACAACCCAGUCAAUCACACAAACCAGCUUUCCAUCCAUUGAGUCCAUCUGUGCUUCCUGCUACCUCGGGAAAGCAACCAACAUAAUCAAAGACCUGUCUCACCCAGUUAUACUCUCUUCCACCCUCAUCCAUCGGGCAGAACAUACAAAAGUUUGGAUACGUGAACGAACAGAUUCAAAAACAGCAUCUUCCCUGCUGUUAUCAGAUUUUUGAACAGACUUCUCAAAUGUUAAUUCUGAUCUCUCUCUCUGCACGUCUGUAUGGCUGUAGCACUAUACUACACUCUGUUCUGCUAUCCUGAUGCACUUUAAAUGUACAAUCUGCCUGUAUAGAAUGCAAAACAACACUUUUCCGUAUAUCUUGGUACAUGUGACAACAAUAAAUCAGACUCAAACUCAAAAUAAAGAUAGAACAAAAUAUUCCUAUAUAAAUUAAAGUCUAUAUCAUUUUA